GAUUUAAGACACAAAUUUAGACUUAAAACUUAAAUAAUCAAUUUGUGCCAGCGGGAAACACACAAACACGUACCGGUAAAUUAUCAUAAUCAGAAUUUGUCGACGAAUUUGAUAUUCUUUUACAAAAUAUACUUAUCUUAAUAUGUAUAACCGGAGUUUAUAUUACAUGCCCCUCUCCCAACGAUAGUUGUAGUACUCUUAUAAUAGUAGUACUCAUGAAUACAGUUAAUCCGGGUUGUUGGGAGAGAUCACAUGCAUAAAUACAACAUGAAACAAACGUGUGAAAAAGGUACAUAAAAUCGGUGUGACCCGUUCUUGUAUUAUAAGAAAUCAACUUGCUUAGGCCUUGCCGGACUCCUCACAACCCGGUGGCUUGAAGGCGAUGAAGCUGAUGCACUGCACUUGCCUGGUGUUGUCGAAGCCGAUGAUGCGGACAUAGGCGUCAGGGUACUCCUUCUUCACCUCCUCCAGCUCCUUUAGCACCUGCGUGGCGUCGGUGCACCCGAACAUGGGAAGCUUCCACAUUGUCCAGUACCUGCCGUCGUAGUACCCGGGAGAGUUGCCGUGCUCACGGAAGACGAAACCGACCUUGCUGAACUCGAGGCAAGGAACCCACUUGGAGCGGAUGAGAUACUCGAUCUGCUUCAAGAGGGACUCCACGGUGAGAGGCGGCAGGUAGGAAAGGGUUUCGAACUUCUUGAUGCCCUCAAUUGGCCACACCUACAAUUAGAUUAAUAAUUAGCACCGAAAGUAUAAUUUGAGACACAUAUCAGUAUUUCACUUCAACAUAUGUACAUGAUGACAUACAUACCUGCAUGCACCUGAUCCUUCCACCGUUGGAGACGCUGCCGAGACCAGCGCUGGCUGAGCGGCGGCCGAUGGGGAGCCCGGCGGUGGACUUGAGGCCCUGGAAAGGAGCAACGGCAGUAGCCGCUGACGACAUCACUGUGGGAGCCAUCGUACACGUACGUAGAUAGCUAACAAGAGGAGGCAGGCUUGCUUGAGUGCUCUCUAGCUACAGCGGCUUAUAUAACUGUAGGCUCCCCACCCAUCCAAUAUCAGCACAAGAUCUAGGAGGGGUGGCUGCAGUUCGCCGCGCGGAUUUGCCCAGGCCACGCUGGCAUCCUACGGAUCAGGUCGGGCGCCACAUGGCCGCACGAAAUGGCGCGCGUUAUCCUCUGGACGGAUACAAUUGGCUGCAACGCACUCUGCAAAUCAUGCCAUGAAGUGACCAAUUUUCACCUAUCAGGAUAGAUCCAAUGUGCCACGGCAUGCACUCAAAAACAGAACUUGCUAAUCCCUCCAAUCCAUAAAAAAUCUCGCCCACUUAUUAGAAAAUUUGUAAUGAGUUAAUGCAAAAUGAGCAGCACUUUUUAUGAACUAGAGGAACAACAAAUUAAGAGAAACUCUUCUAAGAUCUUAUCGAGAACGAAGCUUGCCCCCGCGUCGCUCAGUCUGGGGCGACACGGGCGGCAACCACACCAGCCCCGGCAGCAGCCUCUCCCCGUCCUCUCCUCCCCCUCGCCGCCGCCGGGCAAAGCCCGCACGGGGACGGCGGCGGCGGGGCUGUUUUUCUUGGCGGGGGUGUCCUAGAGCUCUUGGCUGAGGCGUUUGAGGUGCUGCCUCAUCGUGGUCGCGGCGUCUCCGGCCCGAUCCGGCAGGCUAUGCCUCGUCUUCGGCUAGAUCCGGCCGGCUUCCUCCCGGAUCCGGUGUUUCCCCUCGUUCUUCCUCUCCCUGGUGCUCGGUCUGCUCGUGGCUGCGCGGCUUCACGGCGGCGCUCUUCGGCCGGAUCUAGCUACUCGUUGGCCAGAUCCGUCAUCUCCUCCGGCUGAUCCGGCAUGUCCCAGGUCUCUUCGUUUCCAUCAUUUUUCCUCUCAGUUUGGUGAGGCGGCUGAUUGAACUUCACCGGCGGCAGAUGGGCUGCUGCUGCGGCCAUACAUGGUCCAAGUCGGUCCUUUUCGAUGCCAUGGUGGCGUGGUUUUCAUUUUCGGUCGCGUCUUCGGCUGCUGCCCGUGUGCGAGGUAUGGACGUCGGCUCCGGUGUUUGGAGUGUUGCUCUGGAUGAAAACUGCCCGUGUGCGAGGUAUGCCGAAGACAACGAUGUUGUAGCGCCGUUUUCCUUCUUGGAGGUGUCGUCGAAGAGCUUCACUUUCCCUCACUUUGAUGUUUGGUGUCUUCGGGUGAAAACCUAAGAUUUGGCUAUGGCCAGAUCGGGCGACAACGGCGUUUUUACGUCGAUUUCCUCCUUGGGGGCGUUGUCAUGGAGACAACGACUCUUGGUGGCAUCGGGUGGUGUGGUCCGUCUAUGGUGGAGCUUGUUGUCUCGAGUUGUUGAAGGUUUGGUGGUGUCUCUUCUUGUGUCAUGUGUUAGCUUAGGCUGUCGGUUUGUGUCCGGCGAGAACGUGCGUUUCUUAUCCUUUGGUGCGGUUUCGGCAUGUGAUGCCUUUCGUCUUCACUAUCGUCACGUAGGUGUCGUGUUGUAUUCUCGGUGGUGUGUGGUCUUUCGGCUUAGCCAACGGCAAGUGGAGGUAUGAUCUCGGUUGUGUAUUGCCCUUCGACUUCAUCGGCGGCACAUCGGCGUCGCGGUGGGUCUCAGUGACGCGCAGCCCUUCGACUCUGCCGGCUACGUAGGUGUCAUGGUGCGGCCUUGACCCUGUGCUUCCCUUCAGCUACGGCGACGACAUAGUGUCUGGGUGGGCUCGUCAGAUCGACGCCUUUCGACUACAUCAACUAUGCUCUUCAUUGUGCAUUUAUUUUGCCAUUGACAUGUUUCAAGAGUCUAGGUUUUUUCCUUGUGUUUCUUUUAGCAAAUGCUGUUCUGCAGGCUGGCUUUUGCCCACCCGAUCAGAAAAGAAAAACAAAUUAAAGGCUAAAAUCAAGCGAUGUUAUAUUCCCUUAGCUAUUACAAAUAUGGAUGAUAAGAGUUAUUUAUCCUUUUUCAACGAGUAACCCUUUACUUGGAAGUUCCAUGUGCAUGGCGCUGCAAGAAAACAAACAUCAUAAUGGGGCAAGACUUUUUUUUUUAUAAACAUCCAAUUUGGGUUAAAGUCUGAAAGAAUUUGGCUAUCUGAACUUUCAGUUUCCACAUUCUUUUACCUACUCAAUUCUUCAGCCAACAGGAUCAAUGGCGACCUACUAACACCAACCAGAACACAUGGGUCACAAACACGAAAAAGGGCUAGAAGGCUACUUAUACACACUCAUGUGUACUGCGAGCAAAAGAACAUAAUGUACAAAACUUUACAAAAUCUAGGGAAUUAAGACCUUCCCGUAUGCUGUUGCUGCCGCUGCUGCUUCAUGCUGGCUCUCCUGGCAACAUCCCAUGGUUUGUGAGGCACACCUACACCUUGCUGGGAUGCGAAGAACGACUCGUAUCCCGGGGAGUCGAAAGCAAAACCAGUGUGCUUGGAGUUCUCUCGAGGGAGCAUGGAGAUCGCAUAGCUUCUUGCUUCUUCUGGGCUCAAAUGGCUCCUCUCAGGCAGAUGUAUCAUGCUGUAUUCGUGGGGGUCAUCCUUGUGCAUCUCCUGGAUUACUUGGUAGUCAUAGGGAAAGAGCCAUCUUUGGAGCCUGAGAAAGCACACAGCAUCAAAGACAACAAUUGAUUCAGCUACUUCAGUAUGUACAAUGGAAGGAAUAACAAACGGAUGGCAUUAACAAACAUAUAAUUUUGCAAAAGAGCUGGUAUCUUACGAUAGAUACAGGAAAUCACCAAAGAGAGCGAUGACUGGAGCAAGCAUUAGUGUGAGGUAGAAGAAAAAGGUACUCAUCAGAACAUAAAUCACAAAAUAUACAUUUUCCUGCACAAGGUACACAGCAUUAAGUCAAUGCAUUUGUAGCAAGUAAUCGUCAUCAGCAGUGUAAUAGCUACAUUAUUCACCCACCUGUCGGUCAAAUGAUGUCAUUAUCGCAGAAUAUAUGAAGAUAAACAGAAACCAGGCCGCUAUACUGCCAGCUACGCUGAAAUAAUGCCAUCUCGUGAUAGAAUUGCACGACAUGAGGAGACGUAGAUUAACAGUCACCACAACACAAGUAAAGGCCAUCGUGCUAACAUCCCAUUGACCAAGAAUCUUGCCAGAUGAACCGUGACCAUGCUGACUUGCAGCUGCAGUAAAGUAAUAGAACACUAUUGACUGGUAGAAGGCAAAGAAACCCCACACCGCAAUCACUUUCCACCGGAAGAAUGUGUUCCUAAUUCCUUCUUGGUAAAGUUGUGGGUAUUUUUUUGAUAGAGAUGCACUCACAUCCUGAAAGGGUUCAGUUUAGUGAAUGUAGCAAGGAGCGUCACUCCAGAACAAGAAAAGUAGAACAAAUACAAGCAACCAUACCUUAUCAAACAACCCAACCAUAAUUACAGGUAGUGCCGUGAAAAUGACAUUAUACAGAGACUGGAACCAGUCAUCAUAAAAUCGCUGACCAGAAAAGCCAGUUUGGAAAGUGAACCAGAACUGAGUUAGUGUAAAAGUCAGAUUCUUGUAGAAGAAGUAUGUGAUAACCUGAAACAGAAAGUGUCAAUGUUAAAAAAAUUAAACUACACAGAUUGGCAGCUACAAGCUAAGGGACCAAAGCAUACCUUGCACAAUCUCAAGUAUGACCACCGCCCAUGUACAAGAAGUAAAUCCGUAAGAUAUCGAAACUGAGCAAUGGCAAAAUCACUCGCCAUAACAGCUUGCAUUCCUUCUUGUCCGCUGAUGCCAAUACCAACAUGAGCAGCUUGAAUCAUACUCACAUCAUUAGCACCAUCACCAAUACUGAGAGUUAUCUUACGUGCACCUUUCCUAACUAAACUUGCAACCUACAAAUGUGUCAACAUUACAUGUUUUGGCAUCAUUCGAACCCAACAGGUUAUUAGGAAAUAAAUCCAAAAAUAAGAGACUUUGAGAUUGCUGAUGGGAUGGGUAACAACCAAAUAAGCACAUAUACAAUAAGUUAAUUAAUACUACCUUUGUUUCAAAAUAUUAUACCAAAACGUCUUAUAUUUUGAAACAGAGAUAGUACUUAUAGUACAAGAGUGUACAGGACAUUUAGUUAAGAGGCCAAAACUAGAAUAGCAAAAGCAACCAAUGCACAGUGGUUAAUAAUGAUCUUGUGAAUCAUGCACAAACUAUUUUGUUGUCAAGGUACAAAAUUGGAUCCUUUAAAAUGUAAUAAUAUCAAUAUCCCCCGUUUAUUGCCCAAGCAUCCUGAAAGGCAUGCAGCUGAGAGCUGCAGACCAUACUGCUAAUUAUUUCAUGGGAAAAGGCAAGGCAUGCAUGAUAAGAACGCUAAAAGCGAGAAUUGAUAUUUACCUGUGCCUUUUGCAGUGGAGAAACUCGACAACAUACAACUGAUUGGCAAAUUAAACUCAAACCAAGAAGAUUCACACGCAGAGCUGGGUCUAGAGCGUACAUCAAGCAUCGUCCAUCAAUAAUGAAAGCCAACUUUCGUCCUGGCGUGCUCCUCAAAGAACGGUGGGCUUCCUCAAGGUAACUUCUCAGACUCUGUUUUACCGAGUCUUUGAUAACACGUGCAAUUUCCACAGGGUCUCCCUGAAAAUGACUGGAACAUUAUUCAUGGCAAAGAUAUGUGCAUAAGUUGAUUUACAUCAAUCAGAUACAAAUGCUAAAUUGCUAAUUAUGGUUGAUCAAACUGCAAAACACACGAGAUAUCCAAAAGGCUAUAUAAACAUGAUGGAGAGGCUAAAGCACUGAAACAACAGAAUCAACAUAAAGUAUUUUGUACUAUUAUGCAACUAAGCCUUUUGUCCCAAGCAAGUUGGGGCAGGCUAGAUAUGAAACCCAAACAGAAACUAAAGCAAAGUGCAGGUAACAAAAGAGCAAGAGAGUAAAUCAAGGUUCAGGCACAUGGACUGCUGAUUUCCAUGCAGCCCUAUCAAAAGCAAAAUCUCUAGAUACAUUCCAGUCCUUCAAGUCCCUUUAACUGCCUCCUACCAAAAGCAAAUAUCAUAGUAAUCCACCAACCAAAGUAACAAGGGAACUACUUGUAACUUCUUAGUUCACAAGUACAUACCAGUUGAGCUAUCCAAUUAUUCUAAAUAAUAUGGUUUGAUACCUUUACCAAAGUCUCAACUUGUAUUCAUUUUAAAGCUUAUACAAGAUAUUAUAUGUUAUGGCUUAACAGUCUCCAUGACACAAUAUGGCUUGACUUCACAGUUUAAUUCUAUAGGAUUAUCUUACCCUGUCUUCAGCAUCUCUAAUUGCAUCUGUCUCAGAAGUGAUGAUGAAUUGUUUUGUAUCGUUAUUCACCAGGCUGCACGCUGCAGAGCAAAAACUAAAUAACUUCAGAAGCUUUUCUAUGUCAGGUGAAAGAGAGAGAAAAAGACCGCCCGCCCCCCACCAAUAAUCCAAAACUGAGCUUCUAUUAGACCCCUUAAGAACGAAACAAGCAUGCAAAUUGAUCUAUAUAUAAUUAAAACCUCACCAUAUGCUAUAUUAAUUGCUGUUUCCAUUUUAUCUCCAGUUAGCACCCAAAUUUUUAUGCCAGCUGCAGAAAGAGUUUCAAUGCAGGCUGGAACCCCUUCUUGCAGUUUGUCUUCUAUUGCAGUGCACCCUAUCAAUAUAAGGUCCUUUUCAAUCAACUCAGCCACCUACAGGGGAAGAAACAGAAGGAAAUUAUAUGGCAAUGUCCCAGCAAUAUCUUAAAUCAGAAUAUACAUUAAGUCUAUUACUUCAAAUUCCUUUUUCCUAGAAAUCACAGUGAACUUAGUACAUGAAAGAAUGAAAGGAUAAUGCUUUUCUAAUGGGGAUUUGAAAAAACAUCAUAAAAAUAAUAAUAUAAAGUACUGUAUGUUCUUGUUCUAGAUAAAUUACAAAUAUCUUUUGCUCAUGAUCCUCUUUCCUGACUAAAAAAUAUAUAUUAUUAUGUAAAAUACUAAUGUUCUAUGGCAGUACAAGAUAAUAAAUUAGCACAAAAAACUAUUAAACUGCAAAUGUCAGCUGUUAGGGAUGGAUGACAUGACUCCUGUAGUUUUGGGGGGAGAGAGAGAGGAGACACACUGAACAAAUUACUUCCUUCGUCUCCAAAGAUUGCCAUGCCACAUUCUAUUCGGUCAGUCAACCUUUUACAACUUCAAAAUUAACAAUUAUAAGUGAAUUGAAUUACUACAUGAAAAAUAACAGCACUCAAUUUGCUUGCAUAAUAAUUUGUACGCAAAACUUUUGCUUGUAUAUUAGCAUAGAAAUCAUAGCCAGAGUUUUAUGUUGGGAGAAUAUAAAAUUAAAAAAUGGCCUACAUUUGUCAGGUACAUUCAGUUAAUUGUUUCCAAAACCAAAUUAAUUUUCAUACAUAAAUACCAAACGGAUCAAUAGCAUGCUCAACAGUGCACAUGAGACUCGAGUUCAGUACUGGAUGACAGAAAGUAAAAAAAAUCAGGCAAGCACUAGAAGGUGGAGGGGAAGUAAUCGAAAUUCAAAUCACAGGGACUGUUCAGCCUGUAUACUCAACAGAAGAGGAUGGUACACAUACCUCAUCAAGCUUCUUAUCACGAUCUCGUAAAGAAGAUUUAGCUUGAACAAACUUCUCAUUCCAGCUUUCGUACUGCUCCCUGCUUAGAUCUCGAUAAGCAAGGCAAAGCGUGCGCAAGCCAGCAGAGCCAAAUUGUUCUAGAUGUUCUCUGCUUGUCUUUUUAAUGUCAUGAUUUCCAUCAGCUAACCGUUCAAAAAUGACAUUAUCAGCGCCCUGUUACACAACAUUUGUAUAAGGUUAGUGCAUCAAUCUACAAAGUGAUAGCUACAUAAAGAUUCUUUUUUCUUGUAUUACCUUGCAAUACAGAACAAGUUUUCCAUUUGGGAAACGGCAAACCACAGAUUGGCGCUUUCUUGUACUGUGAGUGCAGUAAAGUGUGAAGUGCAGAACAAUGAUUUCAUCUUGUCAAAUUUAAAUUGAAAACAGAUAAACCAGACCUGUUGAAUUCCAAAACAUUCAGAAUUUCAUAUGCAACAUCUUGUAUACUCCCCAUCCUCUCAACAUGUGAUUCCCGAACCAAGACUGUGGUUGGCGUACGUCUACAAGACAGGCACAAAAUGUCAACCACCGGCAUUGCCAUUCACAAUAAAAAUGCCACAUGAAAUAAUUUGCAACAAAAAUCAUAAGAACUUAGAUGAGUUCAUGUUCACAGCACUUGCUUUAACACUUGUCUUAAUUUACAACGGCAAUUUUUUGUUGAUGGGCUAAUAGUUUAUUUAUGCUUCUUAGUAUGUACAUUCAGUCCUUCAUACAACAAACUAUAUAAGCAAUAACCUGGGUGAGUGACUCUUUUAUGCACAUUUUCCUUGGGACCAUAGCAUAGUUUUUUAAGAUACCUUGUUUGCAACAAACUGAUAAGAGGAAUCUAUAACUGUAUUUAAAGGCAAGGUAAGACAUGCCUAUAAAAGAAGAAACCAAAAUUCUUCGCAGCAGCGACAAGCGCGGCCUCGUCGGGAGAGGCAGCUUGAUAAGUAAUCUUUUCCGGUGUCUCCUCACCCUCAGGAAGAACUGUAUGACAGAUUGCAAGGCAUCUGCAGAAUUGCUAUAGAGCAAAUAACAAAGUUGUUACACAACUAGCACAUUAACAAGGGAAAAUGUGAAAAAGGAAAAUAGGUUCCAAAUUUUAUUAGUAAGGGCAUAUAUCGUGAUAUGUGAAUAAUUUGUGUCAACUAAAUCAAAACUGAUUAUGACCAAAGGGGAACCAAUCGAACUAUUCCACAGGUAGUCCCGUAUUUACCACGCAAGCAUCAGGAUUAGGUUCAUUUCUCCAUGCACCACGCAUUAUUCUAGCAUCAUCAAAGUUGAAUCCUUUCUCAUGAACUGCAGUGGCUGAUCUUUUACCCUAAAAAAGGCAAGUAAACUGGAUAUUAAAUCAGUUGUGCAUUAAAUUUUUCAUCAUAUACCACCACACUUCAAUAGCGUAAACAACAAAGAAAAUGUUGUAGACCUCAUCAUCAUCAAUCUUGACUCCGGCUCGCUCGGCUCCUCCUUUUUCAAUCUCUGUGAUGCCAGUUCCAUAUAUUUCCCCUCCAAUCGAACAUUUAAAGAAUUCCAUCAAGUUUCUUGUAAGUGUUCCAGUUUUGUCAGAAAAUAUAUACUCAACCUGAACCAUUAGUGGGGCAAAAAAAAUUUGGCAGAAAUGUCAAAUUAUUUGCAAGUGUUAAGUGCAUUUUAGUACCACUCGGCAUUUGUUCAGUCAUAUAAGCAUUUCUGGGGAUCUAGAACAGUUUUUCGGUGGGAGUAAGUCACUUAAUAUUAGUGAAAUGAGACUGUUCCCCAAGUGCUUAUAAUUGAUCCCACUUUCUGGAAUGAGUCGGUGCAGUGAGGUCAUUCUAUCCAUUAACCAAACCCAGCCAUAUAGGUCAAAUAAGUAAAUAACCCCAUUUCAGCAACAAACAAAGGGGCUUUCAUCAAACUAAACAGAAUGCUAAGGAACAAAAAAAAAACUGAUAUUACCUGCCCAAGCUCCUCAUUCAGAUUAGAAGUCCGAGCCAAAGCUGGGGUGUUGCUCUCGGCAUGAUACAUAUUCAGAUCAUUGUUAAUAAACUUUGCACACUGAAUGAAUUUGAUCAUCUGCCAGCCAAAAUAAACAUAAGGUCCAAUCCAAAUACAGGGUACACUAAAUGAUAAAUUGGUCAAUAUACCUCAAUGGAUACAUAAAGAGAAAUGGGGAUGAUCGUUGAGUAUAGAGUUAUUAGAGUAAACAUAGUUAAAAUGGUCACCUGCAAAAGUACAAACCUAUGAUAUAAGGCCACUUAGAGAAUAUUCUCUACAAUAAAUUAACUAAAAUAAUAUAUACCACAAAUCUGUUCUUGGGAUUAAACUGGUCCUCGACACGCCCACGCAAUCCAAGAUAGAAGUAUUUCUCAUUAAUAAACACGCCACUGUUCACAAAAGCCAAGUAUGAUGAGUCCAUUGGUAGAGUUUUAGGUUUCUAAAGAACGUGCAAGCUAAGCAGUCAUAGUUACCAAAAUCUAUAUGCUGAACAGAGCACUUCCAUUUCUGACCAUCUAGAAAGUGCCCUAUUAUGUACCUCCCACAUAAAACCACUAAGAAAAAAGAUAAGGCUAUUAAGACCUAGUCAUGUGCUCAUCUAUACUGCUCCUAUGCCACAAUAAAAAAAUAACUUCCCCAAACAAGCUCCUGACAACUCAUGUCAUAAUGUUUAAAGUUUAUCUCUCUAUUAACAGUUGUUUUUUCAUGAUCAAUUAAAUUGUGAAAAAUGAUUGUGCAAGCAUAAGCCUCCACAACAUCAACCUAACCGAUAUAACUCAUGUUCAGAGAAUAUACAUGUAAACAAUAAUACAAGAUAGAUAAGUCAAAUAAAUGAAGUGGGCCAAAUAAAACACUGACCUUCCAAUAGCACCAAUGACACACAUCGUAAAGAGGGUUGCAAAUAGAGCAAGAAUAAGCUUGUCUAGUUUCUUCUCCAAUGUACUUCUUUUAGAGGGAACAUUCAUAGAAUUCAUCAUAACCUGCAAUAGUGUCCCACUGCAGUAAAUCUCAAAACUAGAAGCACAUCUAACCUACAAGUUGAAUAUAUAGGGACACAAAAUUGCACAUACUUUCGUCUCAUGGCCCGUGAAUAUAACAGCCGCGACAAUGUACUCUGUAUUACGAAGGCUGCAUCCCUGUGGCAAAGUGGUAAUAAGAGGUUGCAUGUGUGCCACAUAAAGAGAGAGAAUUAAGUGUCAUGCAAGACACCGUUCAGUCUGGUGAAAGUAAACAUUUCUUUUGCACUUUACAAACAUUGCUUCAACCCUUCACCACUUAUCCUACAUAUGGGACUAGAGAAGAAAUGGAAGUUGUUUAUAUGAAUGUUAAACAUUUCCAAAUUGUUUAUAUCAUAGCUAUCCUUGUUUGCAAACCAAUAAGAACAAUAUUAUUAUAGAGGUGUUUUAUGAUGAAAAUUUCUGCUGGUGACAUUUGGGUGUCGUCAAUAUUGGUAUUUGGAGGAGAUGUUGGUGAUCAAAGUUAAAGGCCGAGUAAAGGCAUCACGCUAUGAUGUUAUUUUUUACCUGAGGGAUUUUCUUAACAAACUCAUGCUAAAUCUAGAACAUGCAAACAACUUUGCAGGUGGACAAUCUUGUAAAGAAAUUUCAAGGGCAUGUUUGUGUGAGGGGUAUUACUUUGGUACGUGUUGGUAACUACAUACCUAAUUGUUACAAGAAAAAUCUCAUCCAAACAAGCCCUAAGGACAUUAUGGACCUUGCUACUGCAAAGUUGGUAAGUCGAAAAUACGACAGGAUGUCUGAUUGAUAUGUAGGACCUGGACCCACAUGUCAUUCUCACAGCGAGUCGCACUAUUUCAAAUGUCAACUUUGUGGUGGCAUGGUUUCAAUUUUCCCAAUAAGAAACUAGAUACAAAUAGCAUAGAUGAACAGCACUUACCCUUAGUAGUAUUUGAUUUGGUGAAAUUGGUAUAGUUUGCUUGUCCACAAUAAGGUUCCCGGUAAAUGUAUAAAGUGAAUUGUUUGGCUGUUCGCAUUGUAUUUCACCUGUAAGCCAUGAAACAUACAGAUAAUGUGAAGUUAAGAAAAUGUAGAAUAGUUAAGUGAAGUUCAGAAAAGGAGCAAUGCUUCCUACACCAACUACCGAAAAAUGUCUGCAACAUGGAACAAGAAUAGAUAAAAACCUUUGAAUUCAGAAGCCUUUUCAGGAAUUACGCAGUCCCAGGUUUUCUCCAAAGCCUUCCUUAUUUUCAGGUUAGUUUCCCCAUCAAGAUUUGCUGUCUAAGGUAAAUAGAAGUAUGAUACACUUCAAUUAAAACAGAGUUUCUCUAAAUCAUUCAAUAAUUUCAAUUUGGACAAAAGAUGGAGAAGGUAAGAAUGAAUAUAUUGACCUCUAUGUAGCAGACACCAUCAGGGUUCGUACUUGAUAGGAAGAGCAAGUCAGAAGGAAAGUAAGUGUCUUGCUUGAUCUGCUCUAAAGAAGUGCCAUCACUAUUAGUCUUUUUGGAUAUGUGUAUCGAGCUGAAGAUUAAAUUUGCACAGCACAAAAGAUCAAGUGCAUUAAUUUGUGGAAGCAACAGAUCAAUUGAAUUGAUCAUCAAAUUGCUAUCAGGAAAGAUGAAGACAUUACCCUCACAAUAUCUCCAACCUGCAGUCUUUUCCAAGGGGCACUUUCCCAUUUUUGACCUUGCAAUACAUCGACGUGCGCAUUAUUAAUUGACAUGUCAUUCUGGAAACGUUUCUGUAUAAUGGGAGGCAAACAAAAAGGGAAGAAUAUCAGAUAACAUUAAGAAUAGCAAUAAAAUAGUGGAGCAACAGAGCAUGAGAGCAAUACUAACCCAGUCCUCAAAAGCUUCCUUGAUGAGUGAAACCAAAAGCACUAAACUAAGUGGAACCACAUUGGUGACAGGGUGGACUGGACUGCGAAGAUACAAGCAUGUAUGAACUAAGAUUUCUAGAAGUAAAGGUGAAGGAAAGCAAAGGAUGACUGAAUCAACUGAUGGACUUGAUAUGCUAAGAAGUGUCUAGCUGUAACAUGAGAAUUCCAUAGGGUGCAUGCAUGAGAGAGAGAGAGAGACCUAAUUGGUGUAGUCGACAAGAUUGAAAUCAUAAGAAAGUAAAGAUUUGCCACCCGUCUGAACUGUCAAAGCAAAAAAAAAAACAAAUGAAUUACAAAAGGUUCCUAUGGUCAAAUUGCGAUAAUACAGAAAGGGAACAUCUAAAUCGGUGUUACAGCUACCAUUGCAAAGUUUCUUUAUUCGAUAUGGAAAAAUGCAUUACAUGUUUAAUGUAUGAAGCCAUUGAAAUACUUUAAUGUACCUUACGUAAAAAACAGUGGAUAAUGAAAUUGCCAGAAUUAUGGUAUCGCAUAAAAUGAAGGUUACAUUGAGCGAAAAGCAUGAUCAGGGCUUUACCAAAUAACAAAAUCAUACUUCUCCUUUUCUCAAUAUAUGGCAUUUUAGGUUUCAUUGAAGACAAGUCUUUGAAAAGGAUUUACUUUGUGUUGUUUUUAAGGCAUGAAAUUUAUAUCACUAGAUUCAUCCUCAAAAGUACUUAAUGUGGAUUCAUAUCAUAUAAAUCACAUAUUAAUGAAGUAAUUCUUGGUCAAAGUCUUGUAUUAACGAAACCUAAUAUGUCCUGUAUUGACAAAAUGAGGGAGUAUAUUAUCUAACAGUGCAUGUAUACAGGCACGAUACUGGUAGCGCGUAUUACAAGCAAGGUAUCUUAAAAACAUUGCAACACAGUGCCAGACCAGGUAAGCAACUAAGCAUCUCAUGUAUCCACUAUUUUAAGGGAAGUUGAUCCAGAGUGAGGAAAUAAACAUUUUUAAGGAGAUAUAUCAAUUUGCAAUGUGAAAAUGAUACGGAGUAGUAUAAUCAUUUCACUGUGAUAACAAAUACUCCCUCCGUUCUAAAUACUUGUCGCUGUUUUAGUGCAAACUAAAACAGCGACAAGUAUUUAGGAACAGAGGGAGUAACUUCCAUUUACCGUUAGACAUGAUACAAAAUAAUAUGUUGAAAAAAAAUCUAGCCAAAAACUAAAAAACAAACAGAAAAUCUGCAUUAAACGAUGACAAACCCAGCAGGUAUGUUGAUUAACAAAAUAUGUAUGAACAAAAAACAACGCAUCAAUACCUGUUCAAACAAUCCUUUAGGUAGAAAUGUCAGCACACUGUACUUUGUAGUCGACACAGAAUUUCCCUGGAAAUGUAGAAUGAGAAUGUUAAAGAACUAAUUCUAGCAGAAAAACAAAGUAGCGCUCUGCAUUAGAAUCGCGAUGGUCUGAUACCCAACAUGAGGGAGAUUCUGAAACUAAACAGAAGAGCUAAUUGCAACUAGAAGCAUGAAAAAAGUAUAGCUUGAUCUUUUUACAACAUCAAGUCUGAAUACAUUCAAGCAUUUACACUAACUUGGAACAAAAUGUGGGUGUCAAAGAAAAUGCAUGAAUACACCUACUUACAAUAAAGCACCAAUUUUGCAGUGAUUGGACAAACUAUGGUUAAAAUACUUAAUAAUAGAGUUCUACGUAUUUGGAGGCAUAAAACGCAUUGCAGUUGGAGCAGUGGCAUUAUCAUGUUAGUCAGUCUAACAUGGCAGUGAAUGACGUGAAUUUUUUGCUAGUUUAGACCUCUGGCCAGCGCAAUUGACAAAAAUGCCCCCCUCUCAAAACUAAUGCCAAAAAUGGUCUGGCAGAAGGCCCGAAAGGCGCCACAUUUCAUUUUUCGCCAUCUGAGCUGCGCAUGCAAACAUUCCGACAACCUGAAAGGCGGAAAGGCCGUUCCGCCUACUGCAUUUGAUGAAUGCACCUGACAAGGGCGGAAGGUGAACUGGGCCCUGCAGAUGGAAGCAAUUUCCACAUUUGUUACAGACCUGGAAUCUUUUUUUUUGUUGGAGUCGACGGACCAUGUAUGUGCGGAUGCAUAGGAAUCGGCAAGCAGCCUAGCUGCUAGUUCACGGGCACGUUUUACAUUUUCUUUCCUCAGGUUUGGCUAGUGCUACCACGUUGAUACUAAUCAACGCUUCUUGUGAAUGGGCUUAGUUGCUUCUACUAGUCGUGCGAGCGUUAAUCUUUUCUCUGUGCGCCUGCAUGUGCGGGCGUGGGAAUCGGGUCAGGUCCCUGCAGACAGCACGCCUGGCUGCACUGGGCCUGCUUCAGCUUCCGCCCCUGAAAAUUCACUUUCGUCCAUUUCAACUGGAAACAAGUAGGCUCCACCUGUCCUGUUGGCGGAAAGUUCAUUCCUCCUACCCAGUGGCCACUGGGUCAGUUGCUGGGCUUUCCACCACGUCAUUUUUCAAAUUAUAUUUCAGAUGGAGCUAUUUUUGCCAAUUCCGUUUGACAAGGGGCUACAAGAGCAAAGAAAUUGAAUGACAUAGCAAGCAAUCAAUUUCCCCUUAUAGGUAAAUAAUAAACAGCUUUGCUUCAGCUUACUGUCAUCAGCUGGUGGCUGACUGCCCUGACCAAACACAAGUUCAGUAAUCUACACAGCAAGCGGCACACAGGUGCAGCUAAGCACAUGGAUGAACAGAAUAUUCCAGCCAUUGAGGCUCAGCUCUCGAAGCUUAAUGCCAGGUGGCAUCUACAUUGUAUUGCAGCCCGUAGCACCCUGAUUGACUAGUAACCCAACAAUGAGACAAGCUCUAAUCCACCCAAUGACCUCACAGUUGGCAAGAAAUGCAGCCCUUAGUGACACGCACCACCCUACAUAACUUUCUCGUGGACUAAUCAGUAUGAAUCAUAUAAACCCUCUGCAAGCUGCAGUGAAAUAAAACUACUACUACUGAACUAGCUAUUGUCCCAGAUGGCCAUCUCCAACCCAACCGCCCAAGCAUGAAACAAGGGGCCAGUUACGAGAUCUAGGCCUACAGACCCCUAGACCUUGAGACAACCGACCUGUUGAUCAUCCGAAUUAGAGGAGGAGGUGCACACCCGUACCUUGUACCCGACCGGCGCGUUGGCUUCGCGGUCGUUGCAGUAGAUGGUGCGCACGGUGGGUGCCUGCGGCUGCGGCUGCCGUCGGAGGCUGCCGCCCCCGCCGCCGAGACGCGCCGUCCUGGACGCCUCAGCGCGGCCGGCCUGAGAGGUCCCCCCCCGCGGCGACUGCUCGCCGCCCAGCCGCGCGGUGGCAACCCGCAUCAUCUCCUUUAUGCGCGAGCUCAUCCUGCCCCCCUCAGCGCCAAACCCAGCGCUGGAGGAGCCGGCGGGAGAUCUGGGGAAACCUCACGGUGGAUCGGAGGGGAGACCUAGUCGGAUUUGCGCGGCUUUCUGGUGGAUUUCAGUGCCUCGCUGAGGAGGGGAUUCGAUUUGGGUCACGCGUUCCCGUAUGUGCGUAUUUUUUCCGUGUAAUUUUUUUGUUUUGCCUUUUUCUUUUCCUUUGGCUCCGGGAGAAGAGAAGACAGGAGGGGAAGGAAAAGCGAAGGUCGCGACUUCGCGAGGAAGAAAAUGAAGGGAUUACUGCAGAUCACACCCUUGAUUAUUUUCGAAUAUGGAAAGCUCCAGUAACUGAAGUUUGAAAUUCCAGCCGCGUUUGUCUUUUCCUUCUUCGAGCAAACAACCGUGUUCUUGACUUGUUCUAUGUUUUUGCUGUCCGGAGGACUACCCGAUUUGCAAGUAAAUAAUGGCAUUAAUUUCAUAUAAGCACUUUAGGACACCACACUUGACAUGGUUUUCUACUGACGACGACUAUAUGGUGGCUUUGAUGUUCCAUGAAUAGAUCUUUUUAGCGGUGUUUCAAGUUCAGGUGUUAUAACAAAGCAUUACUCUUGACCUAUCUUCCCUUGCGACCAUGCUUUUUGAAUCGCCAAGUCGAGUCGAAUCGCCCCCCAACAGACUUGGAGGUUAGUAUGAUUAGUCAGAAACUAGUCUCGACUAAUCAACCCAAGUCGAGCCUAGUGAUCAGUGAGGUUUAGGGAGCUCUAGCAGGGAGCAUUAGAGGAAAGGAGUGAAUUGCAGUAGAGGGGAAGCACGAGGGAACAGUUUUUGUGGUGCUGGAGCUUGAAGAAGAGGUUCAUGGCGGCUAGGAUCUAGGAGUCGAUAAACUUAGAACGCCCGUGUUGAGGCAAACGCGUUGAGGAAGACGACUUCAAAGGUGGUUGGCUCAUUAUCAGGAUAGGUGCGUGCCUGGCAGCCCAUAAAGGCCUAUUAGAAAACCCUAACUCCCCCCUCCCCCCCCCCCCCACACACACAUUGCCUUCUUCUACACCACACACGCACCAAUGGCGGCCAUCUUCUUCCCCUUCCCUGCUGCUCCCCAUGCCUUCUCUCCCUCCCCGAAAAGAAAUAUCUUCCGAAAAUUCUUCUCUUCGAGUCAAGUUGAGGGGCUCGCGGCGUUCCUAGUCACGGCGGCUAGUCGGAGAAGUCGCGGUUCUAGCUGACGAGUCGCGCGACUUGCUCUGCUAGUCGAGUCGCGGCUGCAAGCCGCCAUCAUUGUGCUGGCUCGGCGACUAGUUGGCGAUUCAAAAACCAUGCUUGCGUCUUAUAAUUUUGUUUCCUCUUAGAUUUUUUUCAAUUAUGUAUGGAACUCUUUUAAGCUUGGCUAACAUAUUGGGUCAAUUUGUCUCCCAUUGAAAAAAAAACAAUUUCCUAUAAAAAAUAAAGUAUCCACAAAACAAUAUGCAUAGCGCAGUUGUUUUCAAAGUUGUGGAUGAAACUUUGUGUUGUACAGGCAACCACUUAAUAACUUGUUCGGUUGUAGAAUUCCCCGCAUGUAUUGAAGAGGAUUAAGAGAGAUCUAAGGAAAAUUGAUCUGCAAUUCGAUCAUUCCCUCUUAAUCCCCAUCGGAGUGGAAUCAACCGAACGGGGCUAAUGUGGACCAUAUCACCUUGAGGACUCCAUUCUUCUUUUAUGGCAACGUUGCAUGGACCUUGAUAUGAACGCACGUGCCUGCAAUCUCUAUUAUUUUUUCGUAAAUAGCAACUGUCCUUUCUGUAUCUUGUAAUAUGUUUUCUACAAUUUUAUUUGGGAUAUUUCGUCAAGAACCCAAAUCGAUUACAUUUUCCACUUUGGCGAAUGAGUCAAGAUUCUCCAUGUGUUCCAGCGAGGCAACUGCGAGCUACACAUGUAUGGUGAAACAAGCCUCGCAACUUCGUAAGUAACUCCAAAACUACAUCAGCACGUCUCUUGAACUUUGGAAACACACAGACGUGUUCCACGACCGUGAGGCGACGGAGUUAACGGGGCAGCGUUGCCGGAAAGACAAGAGUACCGUAACAAGGCCCAGACUGGGCUGCAUCGGCGUUCUGCCUCUAUUACAAGCGAGAGAUGUUGAACCGGCCAAGGUUAGGCAAGGCAGUCAGCGGGAGGAUUUUUUUUUUUUUGUUGUUGGUUUUGAAGAGGCGCGGGAGGAGAAGAACUUGCUUGACCAGCCCACAAGAUCGUGAACCGGUAUGACAUUGACAUUUUAUUUAGGGCCAGUAACGUGUAAUUAGAAGUACUAGCUUACAUCUCUUCCUUUUUGAACCGUCAGAUCUGCAACCAUAUCAUCUCUCCCCUUUGUCCUCUUCGCUAUGCCGAUUUUAGUGAAACGCCGCUGCCAAAUCUUCACAGGAUUGUGAACCGGCAGCAGCUUCGACCCUUCAAUAUUAUUAUUACAGCUAAAUAAAAGACUGAAAUUAUAGGUGAGGUCCUUUGUUCUAAUCGCCCAAGCGAGCAGAAGCCAAGAGAUUACGUGCAAGCAUAGCAUGGCCAUGUUCGCCAACUCAUGACAUAGUGGCACAGGGACUAACCACCUGGAUUACAUGGCUAGCUUCCAUAUAUGUGCAACAAAAUAUUGGUACCAGGCAGCCAUCUGUGCCACCAACCAUAAACUCCCUGAUCCCAAAAAAUACAAAAUACCAAGAGUUUCCACCCACAUCAGUACAAGUGCACAACAGUUUAAGAGACAAGCCAAGGAUCAUUCCCAGUUUGUGGGAAUAAAUAAGAGUCCGCAGCAAACAGAAAACUCAAAAUCGCUGGCAAAGUUAGGAUGUGGAAAAAAGAAAGGCUUAAAAUGAUCUAGCCAUGGCGUCAGAAUCUAUUAUCAAUGUUUCUCUCUCAAGGAUUUCCCUUCUAUAUAAAGUAUAAUAUUACAAAGGGGCUGCUUAAAUAUCAUGGACUCCUGGAAUGUAAAGAGGGUAAUAAUCAACACUACAUGAGCCUCCUUUUUCCUGAGGCUGCUUCCUAAGACUGACUGACUGCUUCCCCGAGGAUCCACAUACACCCUCCCCUCUCCUCAAGUUCCACCUCCCACCAUGGAAGUUAAACCCCCACCAUGGAUCCGAUGCUAACCAACUGUACGCGACCUGGAGAAAGUCAGUCAGCUUGGUGGUUCAAUCAAGACAGAGCAUCACGAUAUUGCCCAAAUGGUAUAAUUGGCAGGAUCAAUAAGUAGUUUAUGCUCGCAGCAAGAUCCAAAAGAACCAAUCUACCAUGACUAAUGUAUGACAAGAAUGAUGUCUUAUGUCUACUUUCAGAUACACUAUGGUCCAGGUGAAACAAUAUUUUAAAGUUUAGUAAUUACUGGCAGUAGUAGACAGACCACAGAAGUGUAAAGAUAUUUGCACACAUGACCUUUUAAUCCAAGGCUAACCCAACCUUGUAAGCUACGUGCUGUUUGUGCUAACGCUGCUGCUUGAAUGCAAUUAGACAGUGGUGAUGUCCUUGUUAGUCUGUUACAUACCUAAGGCAUCACCUCCUGAUUCUAGGUUUGCACCGGAACUCUGCUAAGAGCGCUAUGUGAUCUGAUGACCAUUCAGGUGAAGGAAGAGCAGUGUCUUUUCUUAAGCUCUCCUCAUCCAGAAGUUCCAACAAAGACUCCACGGUCAACGAAUCCGCUGAAACAAUAAAGGAAACAUGAUCAACUGACCAUAAUCAAACAUAUCACAAUACUACAAGCUGAUUCUGAAGCAAUUCCCAGAAGUCUAAAUACAGCAUACAGGUCAGGUACCUACCUGUGUAAAAUAUAUAAUCAACAGUUCCAGUGAAAUCCCUUGUGCAAUUUGUGAAAAGUGGUUCAUUUGUUCCUGGAUCCAUCCUCCUUCGCUGGUGCUCUAAAUCAUAGCCAACACCUACCAUUCUUGCAAAUGAAGAAUAUGCACUGACCUGCAAACAAGUAAACAUUGGUCAGAAUUUUAAAGGAAGAACAAGAUAGACAAGCUUGAUAGUUUUACUGUACCAGAGGAAGCUGGUGCGUCAACUUGCUCACGGGGCGUAAAAUUGAAAGUGGGUCUAUGGCCAGAUCUGGAUGCAAUUGAUCAACUUUGCCCACCGCAAGAAGCCCAUGUGGAGUACUGAAAGACAAAAGGAAGCACUUAGAGAUUUAAAGUUAGAAAAAACAAGUAAACCUGAAAAAUAUUGCUCCAAUAGAAUCUUGACAUGCACCUCCCCGGGAUUGAAUUGAAAUCCCCACAGACCAACAUUGGAAUGUCUGCACUGUUGGCUAUUUUCUCCAAUCCUUUUAGUAGUGUUUGAACCUGCAAAAAACAUACUUACUUUCGAUCUGAAUUUUUCAGAUGUUGCAGAAUGCUAGCCUACAGAGAAUGUGACAAUACUGACCUCCCAUAGUUUCACAUCUUUGAGGUCUUGGUGGACAUUUACAUGUGUAUUGGCCUGAAAUUUGAGAUCAUUUAAAAGAAUGAGACCUCCAUGACUCCAAGUAGCAUAAGCCUAGGCCGUAUGAACAAUGGGAAAUCUGUAGUAAAGUUGGCCUCAAAAUCUAGAGUCUAGAGAGCCAAGUCCCAAUCAUCCGCCAUUAACAUAUAGAUGUUUCCGUGCAUCUUAUGCUACUAAGGUCAUCCUACACAGAUAUAUGUUUCACUUCAUUCCUAAAUGUUGUGAGCAAAGAAGGAAAAGAAUCCAUAUGUUGUUCUGCACUAUGCUGCUAGCAGUUCAAUAGCUAAACAUACGGGAAAGUCCACUUUUGGCCCCUUAACUAUUGCCUCAGAUCAAAAUCAUCUAAUUUGCACCCUCAACUAUCAAAAGCAUCCAAGUUACAUCUGAAGGCAAUAUUUGUUAGAGGCUUUGUGUGAUGUGGCAUCCAUGUCAACGUGUUUUGCCACAUCAAUCGCUGCUGGGCAGUAGGGCCCACAUAUCAUGGCUGCCGUGCCCCUUCUUUCUUUAUAAUUCUUCCUCCUUAGCCAUGCCAUGGCCUCCUCUGUAGGCUAUAGCUUCCACUGCUGCUGCUACAGAUAACCCAUGUUUGACGUUGCAUAACAUCUUCUGAUUUAGAGAGGGGUAUCCUGACAGACAUGUACCAGUCUCCGCAAACCGCUGCACGGCUGCAUCCUGAGGGGAAUGGACAAAGAGAGGAUUAGAGAGGAAGGCUGAGGAGGGAGGCGUUUAGGGCGACUCCAACACGGCCACCCAAAUCGGACACAAAAAGUGUGUCCGUUUGGGUCUGCUGGUGCCCCUAACACGGUCACCCAUUUGGUCCGUUUUAUUAUUUAGUAUUGGCCACGGAUAGGCGGGCCAGGGCAAGGACAAGGGAGGACAAGCGCAGUGUCCACCCGCUGUCCGCCCAGACACAAACCCGGUCAGAUUUGGGUCGGCAAUGGGUUGAGCUGGACAGAAAAGCAGACAGCCGCCACACCGGACGAAAUGGGUCGCCGCGUUGGAGUCACCCUUAAUGCUAAGCUGGGAAAGAGGAAGGGAACAGAAAUAAGAGGAUGAGGACAAGGGAGGGAGAAAAGGGUGCUUCCAAAAAAUCAAUCCCAGGCAUGUGGGGCCUACUGCCCAGUGGAGAAUGAGAUGUCAAAGUUGCUGAUUUGGCGGCUACAUACAGAAUAUCACUCAUGAAACCAGCUUCUGGUCCUAUCGAACGGUUUCAUGAGUUGAUGGUUCAAUUUAGACCAGGCAAAAGUUGAGGGAUCAUAAUUAGGCUUUUCCAAACAUAAAUGAAUGUCAUGCUGUAAAAGUAGUGUUCGUCAUCCAGUAAACUGGUUCGAAUAUCCAACAAGCGCACAACUACUUUAUACACAUCUAAAGAAAGAACAGCUAUUUACAUACCACACAAAGGAGCUGCCUUUUACCAGGAGUUUCAGUUCCUUGGUUGCCAAAUUUUGCUUCUAAAACCGCAAUCAGCGCAAUAUUAUCCUUCAAAGCAAAUAGAACGUGUGAUAAAUAACAUCACUUUUUUUUGCGAAAAGUGAUAAAUAACAUCACUGUAGCAUACAUUAUUUCUUUUGAAGUUAAUCUUACUUUAAUCAGUCGACUUAAAGCCACUCUUUUCUGGGAAGCUGGAAUAAUAGCUUCUGUUAAAGACUGUGCAGCCUUAUUGAACUCAACCUACACAAGCAAGUACAAGUAUUAGAUAGCUGCAAAUAUCAAGCUGCUGCAAACCUGCAGUACAGGUACCUCGUAUUUUUUGACAUGUGAAAAUCUAUCUCUACGGAAGAAAGUAGCACAGCCAUCAAUGGCAUUAGGAACUCCAGCAUACACCUGUGACAACAGUAAAGUAAAAUCAAACAAGAGACAAAAGGUAUUAAACCAAAAUAUGAAGGAAAAAAUCAACCCAAAGAUACCUCUGUUGUCCGUUUCUUGUAAAGCGCCUGAUACCCAUGUUUAUCAAACUCAGGAGCAAAAAAAUCCUCAAAGUGGUUCAAUUGUACCUGAAAACAGUAGGACUUGGCUUAAUUCCCUCCUGUUACAAUCUUCGGUCACUCUUCGUUUUUAUUGUAAGCCGCUUCAGUAAACUCUUCAUAAUAUAUAUGCAGACAAUAUUCGUGAAAGUUUAAACAGCAAGCAAACUAUCAUAAAUUCAUAAUCCAACAUCACUGAAAAGUGAAAACAAUCAAACAAAGUGAUGGCACAAAUAUGGAAACGAACAGCCCAGCAGUAUAUGAAAGAUUGUAGGUUGAUGAACAGGGUUCCGGCAUUAAAGUUUACCGAGUCGCAAAAAUUAUAUGAUCAACCAAAUGAGACAUGCUCGGUUCCUAAAACAAAUAUAUGAGAUGAAAAGCUGAAAAUAGGUCACCAAAAUAAAUAAAUUCAGAAGAUAGCAAACAUAUGAUACCUCCUGAAGACAUAUAAUAUCAGCAUGAUAACCAAUAAUUUCGCGCAUCAAAUUUUGUCUUCUGUAAGUCCAUGAAAGUGCCCACGUUGGGCAGUAGCUAUAUGCAUCAGAUGUAGCAUAUGCAUCAGCAAGAAUAUUAUAGGACAGCACCGUGAAUGUCCCAAAAGAAGAAGUCUGGCUGUCUAUAUCUGAGUGACCCAAAACAUCUCCAUUCACUUGGAUAAGGCGGCGUGGAGUAGGAGUUGGUGCUGGAAUCACACGUGAUGUCAUAAUUGAAGUUGGAGACCCCGCAGGUACUUUCUUUUCCGUAUCCACCGCUGCACAUUCAAAUCUUAGAACAUGCCCAAUAUCAUCAGCAGUUGGUGUAUACGUCUGCGAGCGUCCCACUUCAAACCAUGUUUCACCCGAGUUCUUAUCAGUGCCUGAGGGAUACAAGGGAACAGGUCCAUUAUUAACUCCAGGGCUCUGUCCAAGAUUUGACAUUGAGCCAGACCCAGAACUUAGAAUCCCAGAACUACCGCUGCCAAAUCUACCAAAUAGCUCCUCCUCUUCAGCUCCAUUUUCAUUUAAAGCACUACUAGCUCGCUCAUGCAAAACCCUGUGGUGCUGCCAUGCAUCAGAGAAGCACUUAGCAGAACAAUGGUAGCUCUUAGCAGCAGGUAUUUUUGACUUGAGACAACCUAAGCACUGAAUUGUUGCUUGCUCCAUCGGAUGUACACUGCAGAUAGUAACUUUUCGAUCACUCUGUAUGCGAUACCUUCGAGCGAAAAGUCAAAUCAGUAUAACCAUGUGCUACUAGAUACAGAAAAAGUUUAGAAGAACAUGAUUGAAUAUAGUAACUACAAGAAAGGACACCUAAAUUGCCAAUGUUUUAGCAUGUAUGAGAUCCAGGAAAACUUGCUAUCAGCAUCUUGGAAGUCCAUUAUUCAGAGACAUUAGACUCACAACACUUCCAUUAUAAGCAUAGUAUGAAUAAGGCAAAAUGAAGCAGGUUGCCAAGAUGUCGCAAAAAAAAAGAAGCAAAUUACAAGUUUGCUUGUCAUGAGUUGCUGCUGCUGUUGUUUUUUCUUGAUUUUAGUCCCUCAACCGGCUAACUCGUGAUCAUUCAUCUCUUGCUUUCUUUACCAGAUCAACCAUGCAACUGAUUUCUUUAGCGGACCAGGCAAUAUAUGUAAUAAGCAAAAUUCUACAGUUUAGAUCAGAGAUUCAGAGGACUAUUGCAGGCUCUCAUAUAUCAUCAUUAGGGCAUGACGACCAGACAAGGAAGUUGCUGUGUAUAUUAUUAUUCCUAGAAGAAAAACAUUUAAGUACUGUUCAAGGAGGCGACCAACUAUAGCCCAGUGCCCACCCCAUCAAUCGAUUAGUGUCUUUCAGAACACUUCAUUUCAACAAUGUGUCUAUAAAUGGCCACACUUACUAUACUCAAACCUCAAACCUUAAAAGUGAAUAAAGAUGCACAUAUCACAUGAGAUUCUAUCAAGCUAAUGACUGAAAAGCAACACAAUGAAAAUAUAAAAAACUAUAGAAUUGAAGGACCAAAACCAAUGAAACUGCAUGAGUGUUAGUGGGACCAAGCACCACCAUUUCGAAAAGUUCUAAGGUCUAAAGUCUCAGCAAUAAAUGCUAUUUAAACCUACAUGACAUUAAAAAAACGGAUGUGAUAAAACAAAUAAAUAUUCACGAACAUGAUCAAUCAUUCAGAGCGGGAUUCUAAAAUUGAUCACUGAAAUUGUUCGGCCACCCAGCUAUUAGUGAUUAUACAGCCGAGCUAGCUCAUUGCAGUGGGUGGCAUAACCAGCGGUUACAAGUUCUUUUCUCUCAUAUUUGCCUCUCCAUUUUUCAUUUUUUUAUUUCCAAAUAGAUCUACAAUGUUAUUUGAAUUUUAAAAAUAAUAGGUAGGGCACUCCUUACAUACAUGACCUCCUAGGCCAUUUAAAACAAAUAUGCAUUGUUUGGGGUUUUUUAUAUAACAUAAAGUAAGUUAACUAUGACACACUGCCAAAAUAUUUUUGCAUAAAAAACAUUAAAUUUGAUAUAGCACAGAAAGAACGUGGAUAUCCAGCAAGAGAUUAAAGAAGGCAAAGUGGGGCAGGCAGUCAGCAAAACAAAACUAGUGGAUCACGAGUUUCAAACUUUUACUAGCUUUAAGCAACUGAAAUAACUUGCCACUGAACCUAGUGAGCCAACAACUCUAACGUGUAAUAGCAAACAAGUAAUAAUUCUUUUGAAGCUCCAGAAUAAUCAAAACUGAGUCUAGAAUCAAGCUAGAAUGCCCAUUUGAGUUCACUGGUGAUGUUAGAGUGAUACUUAGUUCAAGGAGUAUAUCCAGAUACCCCAAUCAAAAAAAUCAUCUGAAGCCAUGCGAACAAACUGAUGGCACUUCUAGAAUAGUGUCUUUCCACAAAAUUAGUUAGAUAAGCCUAUGUAAUCCCAAAAUUUAUAAAAUGCUCCCGUUCCAUCCAAGAUGAACGUAAACAUUCCUGCACAACGAUUGGCAACAAUCCUCAACCCAACAGCCUUCAUCACCAUCCUAUGAUGCUAUCUAACACUCAAUAGUUCUAGCAAAACCAAAAUCAGAUGGUCUGUUUUGCUCAAUGAAUUACUUAUUAUCAUUACCAACCCGUGUGGCAGGUUGAUAUGGCAUAGACUAAAUAGUAUGAUUCAUAAACAGGCUUAAAAUAAUGCAAUACUGAGUUCUUUACCAAAUCAAGCAUUGGCAUUUCAUGUUCCCUGGGUUUCCAUUCGUUCCAAAAACAAACAACUGUCUUGCUAGAGAAAAUCAUGCUCAGAAUUCAUAUAGUUGUGCUUCAUUUAUGCAAGAAUCAAGACGAUUCAUGAGUUUAGCAAGUAGUUAAGCAUCUAGCAAACUGAUUGAUACUUAAAGCCCCCAUUUUCUUUUUUUCUUUUUUGUCAAAAUUCACUUGUAGCAACGCACAAGCGGAACUAAGCAUUCGAAAGUGUAUAUCCUAUUGAACCAAAAGUUGCAAUCACGAGCUGCUCACUCACCAUCUGUAUCGCAUGAAGUGGCCAUCAACAGGCGCGGCCUCAGGCACGUCGUCGGUGGAGAUUACACCGUUGGGCAGCCGCAGCAGCACGUACGGGGUGAUUUCGCACCCCACGAUCGGGAUCUCCGACGGCAGGUGCACCCGCACC
rnacentral:lncRNA from 1 species